UACGUAGGUGGUGAGCGUUGUCCGGAAUUACUGGGUGUAAAGCGCGUGUAGGCGGGAGGCCAAGUCUGCGGUGAAAUCGCUCGGCUCAACUGGGCGGGGUCCGUGGAAACUGGUCACCUGGAGGACGGUAGAGGCGAGUGGAAUACCCGGUGGAGCGGUGAAAUGCGUAGAGAUCGGGUGGAACACCAGCGGCGAAGGCGGCAUCCUGGCCCUGACCUGACGCUGAGGCGCGAUAGCGUGGGGAGCAAACGGG
rnacentral:rRNA from 1 species